GGGUCAGUAGGUUGGUCGUGCCACCGGUACGUACUGGUCUCACUGAUCCCUCCUUCCUGAAGAACCGUAAUGCCAUUAAUUUGGUGUUGCGGGGAAACAGGACUGUUACUUUGAAAAAAUUAGAGUGUUUAAAGCAAGCUGACGCUUGAAUACAUUAGCAUGGAAUAAUGAAAUAGGACGAUCGAUCCUAUUUUGUUGGUUUCUAGGAUUGACGUA
rnacentral:rRNA from 1 species